rnacentral:rRNA from 1 species
UACAGAGGUCUCAAGCGUUGUUCGGAUUCAUUGGGCGUAAAGGGUGUGUAGGUGGCGCCGUAAGUCGGGUGUGAAAUUUCGGAGCUUAACUCCGAAACUGCAUUCGAUACUGCCGUGCUUGAGGACUGGAGAGGAGACUGGAAUUUACGGUGUAGCGGUGAAAUGCGUAGAUAUCGUAAGGAAGACCAGUGGCGAAGGCGGGGCUCUGGACAGUGCCUGACGCUGAGGCACGAAGGCCAGGGGAGCAAACGGG